rfam:Helianthus annuus linkage group 2, whole genome shotgun sequence.
AGACCGAGAUAUGGGCACUUCCUUAAUAGCUCCUUGAACCUUUCCCAUGUCUCAUACAAGGAUUCCCCGUCUUCUUGAGAGUAGGUGUUAAUCUCGGACAUGAGUUU